rnacentral:misc_RNA from 1 species
GGUUUAAAUACCCGAAUUUGAG